GACGGAGGAUGCAAGCGUUAUCCGGAAUGAUUGGGCGUAAAGCGUCCGCAGGUGGCAGUUCAAGUCUGCUGUCAAAGACCGGGGCUCAACCUCGGAAAGGCAGUGGAAACUGAACAGCUAGAGUAUGGUAGGGGCAGAGGGAAUUCCUGGUGUAGCGGUGAAAUGCGUAGAGAUCAGGAAGAACAUCGGUGGCGAAGGCGCUUUGCUGGACAAUUACUGACGCUCAGGCACGAAAGCGUGGGGAGCAAAAGGG
rnacentral:rRNA from 1 species